rnacentral:rRNA from 1 species
UACGUAGGGUGCAAGCGUUGUCCGGAAUCAUUGGGCGUAAAGCGCGUGUAGGCGGCCCGAUAAGUCCGCUGUGAAAGUCCAGGGCUCAACCCUGGAAUGCCGGUGGAUACUGUCGGGCUCGAGUCCGGAAGAGGCGAGUGGAAUUCCUGGUGUAGCGGUGAAAUGCGCAGAUAUCAGGAGGAACACCGAUGGCGAAGGCAGCUCGCUGGGACGGUACUGACGCUGAGACGCGAAAGCGUGGGGAGCAAACAGG